rnacentral:misc_RNA from 1 species
UCUCCGUUGGUGAGCCAGCGGAGGGAUCAUUACCGAGUUUACAACUCCCAAACCCCUGUGAACAUACCAUUUGUUGCCUCGGCGGUGCCUGCUUCGGCAGCCCGCCAGAGGACCCAAACCCUUGAUUUUAUACAGUAUCUUCUGAGUAAUUGAUUAAAUAAAUCAAAACUUUCAACAACGGAUCUCUUGGUUCUG